rnacentral:tRNA from 1 species
AUUUAAAUAGUUUAAAAAACAUUGAUUUGUGGAAUCAAAAUUAUUAAUAUUUAUUAAUUUAAUUUUAAAUU